rnacentral:lncRNA from 10 species
CAGGGUAGUUUUUGUGCAUCACUGGCUUCCCACAGUUCUUUCCUUGCUAGCCUAUCAGACCCUGUUUUAUGCUGACUUUAACCAUAUUAGUUUCCCUGUGGCCUGUGUUCUCUCUCCUCAGUCAGCUUCAGGUACUUCCCCAGGACUAAUUCCUGAUUCUGGAGAACCUACUGAAUACAGCCGAUCUCCAUCUCACUAUUGCUACAUGGUGGCUGCUCCCAUGAAAACAACAGCUGGCAGUGGCACACUACUUUUCUAUUUAGAAAGCACCAUUUAAUAGGAUUUCAUUUAAUGUGCACCCUAACCUUGUGAAGUAGGUGCUGUUACUCCCUUUUUUCAGAUGAAGACCCACCCAGCUAGUAAGGAUUGAUCUAACUCAGGCUUUCUGGGGAAAA